AGGAGGAACAGCCCCAGUGGCGGGGCAGCUCUGGAAACCUGGAUUCAGCCCCCGCAGGAACUCCGUCUACAGGGCCUGGAGGCUCCGGGGCGGG
rfam:Canis lupus familiaris chromosome 3, whole genome shotgun sequence.